AUGGCCUGGACCCCUUCCCUGCUCACCCUCCUCACCCUCUGCACAGGUUCUGUGACCUCUUCUGAGCUGACUCAAGUGUCUGCAGUGUCUGUGGCCUUGGGACAGACAGCCAGGAUUACCUGCCAGGGUGAUGACUUAGAAACAUACUAUGCACACUGGUACCAGCAGAAGCCAGGUCAGGCCCCUGUGCUGGUCAUCUAUGAUAGCAGUAACCGGCCACCAGGGAUCCCUGAGCGAUUCUCUGGCUCUGAUUCAGGGAACACAGCCAUUCUGACCAUCAGUGGGGCAAAGGCCGAGGACGAGGCUGACUAUUACUGUCAGUCAUUUGACAGCAGUGGUAGUUAUCCACAGUGA